rnacentral:rRNA from 1 species
GACGAACGCUGGCGGCGUGCUUAACACAUGCAAGUCGAACGAUGAAGCCCAGCUUGCUGGGUGGAUUAGUGGCGAACGGGUGAGUAACACGUGGGCAACCUGCACCAAACUCUGGGAUAACUCCUCGAAAGAGGUGCUAAUACCGGAUACGAACUAGGUAGACAUCUGCACUAGUUGGAAAGUUUUUCGGUUUGGGAUGGGCCCGCGGCCUAUCAGCUUGUUGGUGAGGUAACGGCUCACCAAGGCUACGACGGGUAACCGGCCUGAGAGGGCGACCGGUCACACUGGGACUGAGACACGGCCCAGACUCCUACGGGAGGCAGCAGUGGGGAAUAUUGCGCAAGGGGCGAAAGCCUGACGCAGCGACGCCGCGUGAGGGAUGAAGGUCUUCGGAUCGUAAACCUCUUUCAGUAGGGACGAAGCGAAAGUGACGGUACCUAAAGAAGAAGCACCGGCUAACUACGUGCCAGCCGCCGCCGUAA